CUAGUAUAGCUACUCGUACUC
rnacentral:siRNA from 1 species